CCUACGGGUGGCUGCAGUGGGGAAUAUUGGACAAUGGGCGAAAGCCUGAUCCAGCCAUGCCGCGUGUGUGAAGAAGGCCUUCGGGUUGUAAAGCACUUUCAGUGGGGAAGAAAGCCUUGGGGCUAAUACCCUCGAGGAAGGACAUCACCCACAGAAGAAGCACCGGCUAACUCCGUGCCAGCAGCCGCGGUAAUACGGAGGGUGCGAGCGUUAAUCGGAAUUACUGGGCGUAAAGCGCGCGUAGGCGGUCUGAUAAGCCGGUUGUGAAAGCCCCGGGCUCAACCUGGGAACGGCAUCCGGUACUGUCAGGCUAGAGUGCAGGAGAGGAAGGUAGAAUUCCCGGUGUAGCGGUGAAAUGCGUAGAUAUCGGGAGGAAUACCAGUGGCGAAGGCGGCCUUCUGGACUGACACUGACGCUGAGGUGCGAAAGCGUGGGUAGCAAACAGGAUUAGAUCCCCUAGUAGUC
rnacentral:rRNA from 1 species